AUUGAACGCUGGCGGCAUGCCUUACACAUGCAAGUCGAACGGCAGCGCGGGAGCAAUCCUGGCGGCGAGUGGCGAACGGGUGAGUAAUAUAUCGGAACGUGCCCAUUAGUGGGGGAUAGCCCGGCGAAAGCCGGAUUAAUACCGCAUACGACCUGAGGGUGAAAGCGGGGGAUCGCAAGACCUCGCGCUAUUGGAGCGGCCGAUAUCAGAUUAGCUAGUUGGUGGGGUAAAGGCCUACCAAGGCAACGAUCUGUAGUUGGUCUGAGAGGACGACCAGCCACACUGGGACUGAGACACGGCCCAGACUCCUACGGGAGGCAGCAGUGGGGAAUUUUGGACAAUGGGCGCAAGCCUGAUCCAGCAAUGCCGCGUGCAGGAAGAAGGCCUUCGGGUUGUAAACUGCUUUUGUCAGGGAAGAAAUCCUUUGGGCUAAUACCUCGGAGGGAUGACGGUACCUGAAGAAUAAGCACCGGCUAACUACGUGCCAGCAGCCGCCGCCG
rnacentral:rRNA from 1 species